AUCCAGCUGAUGAGUCCCAAAUAGAACAAAACGCUUGUCAAACUGGAU
rnacentral:hammerhead_ribozyme from 1 species